CCUACGGGAGGCUGCAGUGGGGAAUAUUGGUCAAUGGACGAGAGUCUGAACCAGCCAAGUAGCGUGAGGGAUGACUGGCCUCUGGGUUGUAAACUUCUUUUAUAUGGGAAUAAAACGUUCCACGUGUGGGAUUUUGUAUGUACCAUAUGAAUAAGGAUCGGCUAACUCCGUGCCAGCAGCCGCGGUAAUACGGAGGAUCCGAGCGUUAUCCGGAUUUAUUGGGUUUAAAGGGAGCGUAGGUGGAUUGUUAAGUCAGUUGUGAAAGUUUGCGGCUCAACCGUAAAAUUGCAGUUGAAACUGGCAGUCUUGAGUACAGUAGAGGUGGGCGGAAUUCGUGGUGUAGCGGUGAAAUGCUUAGAUAUCACGAAGAACUCCGAUUGCGAAGGCAGUUCACUGGACUGCAACUGACACUGAGGCUCGAAAGUGUGGGUAUCAAACAGGAUUAGAUACCCUUGUAGUC
rnacentral:rRNA from 1 species